rnacentral:rRNA from 1 species
UACGUAGGGUGCGAGCGUCGUCCGGAAUUACUGGGCGUAAAGAGCUCGUAGGUGGUUUGUCGCGUUGUCCGUGAAAACUCACAACUCAAUUGUGGGCGUGCGGGCGAUACGGGCAGACUGGAGUACUGCAGGGGAGACUGGAAUUCCUGGUGUAGCGGUGGAAUGCGCAGAUAUCAGGAGGAACACCGGUGGCGAAGGCGGGUCUCUGGGCAGUAACUGACGCUGAGGAGCGAAAGCGUGGGGAGCGAACAGG